CCUUCUGGUCUGAUUUCCAACUUGAAUGGAGAUUUCUAAGAAUCCUCAUAGGGAAGCUUCGUGAUUUGGGGGAGAGGGGUUUGCUUUUUUGCCUUUCAGAGAGACUUUUGUAGAGCCUGGGCGCCCUCCCGGAGCGGGCGGCACUGCACCGGGGGGCCGAAGUUUCUCCCUGCGUUUCCGCUUGAACGGCGUCCAAGUCUCGCCUUUAAAAUGCCAGGGCUGCCUCGGCUCUGCUCACAGCCGCUCUCGGCGGCUGCCCGGGGCUCACCGCGCCGCCGCCGGGCGCUGACUCAGCCGCAGUCCGGCUGCUUCGCCGAGCCGGACCUGGGGAGCGCGCGCACGGAGACCGUGCCCGGUGCCCGGUGCCCGGCGCCUGGAGCCAUCCGGGAAGCACCGCAGCGCUUGAACUAGCUUCCAGAGCUGGGGGCUGGACCGAUUAGGUCCCAGAGCGCAUCGGACUCGGCUGACCAGGUCAGAUGAACCAGAUACAUCCAGCAGUCACCCUACCAGGGAUCAGAAGGCAGCACAGAUCCAGAAUACUCUGUAUGGAUCUCAAAAUGCUCAUCACCACAUCACAAGGACAUAAUGACCCUCCGUACACCCACAUCUGCUGGAAGGUAAGUAAGGAGGGGAGAUGGGACCCAGAAAGCCUAAAGAAUGGAGGACUGAACUCAUCUAUGGUAAAAAUUAAAAUAAGAUGAAAUAGUUUUUAAAAGUCUGGUGGUCGUUUAAUCAGAAAAGAGAUUUUUAAUUGUAGGAAUAUGUAGCAUUGGUAAUAAGUUUCCCUCAACAACCCGGAAAGAUGGGUCCCUGUAAACCUGGAAAGGAUAUUAAGUCUGCUGUAAGAAGUGCAGGUGCAUUUUCCUAGUGUAUUAAAGGAACAUAGGCAUAUUCCUUGUGCACCAGUUUCUUGUUUUUUGUUUUUUGUUUUCUUUUUGUCAUAGCACUAAGGAAGAAGCUAGAACUCAGGAAUCAAGGGAAACAUGGAGGAAUGAUGGAUUUCCCCAAACAGAGUUAAAAAAACUAAUUUGGAAGAAAAGAAAAUUCAGCAUGAGCCAAAAAGUGUAUGGAGGUGCUGAAAGGCACCCUUCCUUCCUGCCCAGCCAUGGUCUCACUUGGAGUAGAAGUCUCCAGAAACAACCAGUCCUCUGUCCUUCUGUUCCAGCCUCCUACAGCUCUGCUCUCUGAGAAGUCAUGCUGACUCAUUGGCUCAAGCUGUGAUGCUCAGCUGUCUGUCCAUCUUGUCUCCUGGAACAGCUCAAUCCAGGGUCUUCCUGAAGUGGUGAUCACUCCAGCUGGCAGGGGUAGAAAAUGGUACCAGUCAGGUCAGAGCUCUGGGAUCCCACAGUCACUGCUGCAGGAUGGAGGAACCUACUCCUGAGCCUGUCUAUGUGGAUGUGGACAAGGGGCUGACCUUGGCUUGCUUCGUUUUCCUCUGCCUCUUCCUCGUAGUCAUGAUCAUCCGCUGUGCCAAAGUCAUCAUGGACCCCUACAGUGCCAUCCCCACGUCAACCUGGGAGGAGCAGCACCUGGAUGACUGAGGCACAGGACAGGUCUCAGUAUCCCCAACAUGCCUUUGUACACUCUGGCCAACAUCCUGCGAGCACUUGGAGACUGGGAGUGGCUAUGAUCACCCAAAACUGGAGAAGGCUCACCUUUGCCUUACUGGCUCUCACAUGACCACCAGAGGGGAAUGCCAUCGUGCAGGAGCCAAGGCAGUCUGGAGGAUCCUGGGGAGAGGAAUGCUGAGCCAUGACUCAGUCGAGUGGAGAUGAUGUUGGGACUCCACUGGGAGACAGCAGGGUGAUAGUUCCCUGCCCAGGCUCCUGGGCACCUUUGAAAACUGAACCAAAACCAGAUACUCUGGUCUACAAAUAGUGGUCAGGAGGAGACUGACCUUCAACUACACAGCAUGGAGAGGUUGCUGAGAGCCCAGUACCCUCUACAGACUAACAGUGAGGGGCAGGAAGGAUGAAGACUUCAGGGGGCUUCUCCUCCAAAUUCUCACAAGGCACACAGCUACUUUCAAACUUUUAUUUUCAAAAGAAAAAAACUCCAUAAAAACACAAACUAAGAUACAGAAGGGAUAUAUUUUUCCUGUUAAAAAUGAGAUGUGCAUUUUAGACACUUGGGAAAAUAUAAAUAAAUAGAAGGGAAGGGAGGCGAAUAGCACUUAAAAAUCCAACCUCCCCAAAGCCAUCAUUUUGAUACAUUUCUUCAAGUCUUUUUUACAGGAUUUUUUUUAGUAAUUCACACCAUAUGCAUGAUGCUGCAUUGAUUUGUAUGAUAGCUUAAAUAUCUUCUGCCUCACAAGAUACCAUGGCUGUUUUUAGUGACUGAGAGUAAACUGGCUAGGCCAUGGCUGAAUAUAGUCCUUUUCUUUAAUCUGUCUAACUUUCUACAAUGUACUCAUGCAAA
rnacentral:sRNA from 1 species